rnacentral:rRNA from 1 species
AUACGGAGGGUGCAAGCGUUAAUCGGAAUUACUGGGCGUAAAGCGCGCGUAGGCGGUUUAGUCAGUCAGAUGUGAAAGCCCCGGGCUCAACCUGGGAACUGCAUUUGAUACUGCUGAACUAGAGUAUGGUAGAGGGAAGUGGAAUUCCGGGUGUAGCGGUGAAAUGCGUAGAUAUCCGGAGGAACACCAGUGGCGAAGGCGACUUCCUGGACCAAUACUGACGCUGAGGUGCGAAAGCGUGGGUAGCAAACAGGAUUAGAAACCCCAGUAGUCC